GUCGGCGGGGUCCCCGGGACCAUGAGGCAGGCGGUGGAGGCUCAGGUGUUGAGCUCGCACUGUGAGCUAGGAGAACACGGUCAGUAUAGGGGACUUCACUUGUAUAUUUUAUUCCAUUAAUAUAAUAGCUGUUGGAGCCAACAUUAUGAUUUUGAUAUUAAUAAUCCCCCUGGUGUGUGUUUUGUGCGCCGCAGGCCUGCGUCAGAUCCUGACCGACGUGAUCGCGGAGGUGAGGAAGACGGUAAACCCGGACCUCGACGGCGCUGAGAUUCUCCACGGGCUCCUGAACGCCCCCUGGCUGCAAUCGCUGCUCAAGGUUUACGAGGGUCUUCAGAGGUACCUCCGAGAUUCCCCAGCCCCAGCUCUGGACUACGCUUCAGGACUUUCACUUCAGGUUACACCUCAGAUUGGGUUUCAUCAGCAAUUUGUUGCUCGCAGUUAUUUUGUAGAAGGCUUUUUAAAAAAACAUAAUGGAUAUGUGGUUUGUUGUGUAGUUGCUGAUCGACAUCAGAGCGCUGCCGGGAUGCUCUGA
rnacentral:lncRNA from 1 species